rnacentral:rRNA from 1 species
GAAUGCGCAGAUAUCAGGAGGAACACCGAUGGCGAAGGGCAGUUCUCUGGGGCCGUAACUGACGCUGAGGAGCGAAAGCGUGGGGAGCGAACAGGAUUAGAUACCCUGGUAGUCCACGCCGUAAACGUUGGGCGCUAGAUGUGGGGACCAUUCCACGGUUUCCGUGUCGCAGCUAACGCAUUAAGCGCCCCGCCUGGGGAGUACGGCCGCAAGGCUAAAACUCAAAGGAAUUGACGGGGGCCCGCACAAGCGGCGGAGCAUGCGGAUUAAUUCGAUGCAACGCGAAGAACCUUACCAAGGCUUGACAUAUACGAGAACGGGCCAGAAAUGGUCAACUCUUUGGACACUCGUAAACAGGUGGUGCAUGGUUGUCGUCAGCUCGUGUCGUGAGAUGUUGGGUUAAGUCCCGCAACGAGCGCAACCCUCGUUCUAUGUUGCCAGCACGUAAUGGUGGGAACUCAUAGGAGACUGCCGGGGUCAACUCGGAGGAAGGUGGGGAUGACGUCAAAUCAUCAUGCCCCUUAUGUCUUGGGCUUCACGCAUGCUACAAUGGCCGGUACAAAGGGCUGCAAUACCGUAAGGUGGAGCGAAUCCCAAAAAGCCGGUCUCAGUUCGGAUUGAGGUCUGCAACUCGACCUCAUGAAGUCGGAGUCGCUAGUAAUCGCAGAUCAGCAACGCUGCGGUGAAUACGUUCCCGGGCCUUGUACACACCGCCCGUCAAGUCAUGAAAGUCGGUAACACCCGAAGCCGGUGGCCCAACC